rnacentral:rRNA from 1 species
GACGAACGCUGGCGGCGUGCUUAACACAUGCAAGUCGAACGCUGAAGCUUGGUGCUUGCACCGGGUGGAUGAGUGGCGAACGGGUGAGUAAUACGUGAGUAACCUGCCUUUGACUCUGGGAUAAGCCUGGGAAACUGGGUCUAAUACUGGAUAUGAUAUGCCACCGCAUGGUGGUGUGUGGAAAGGGUUUUACUGGUUUUGGAUAGGCUCACGGCCUAUCAGCUUGUCGGUCGGGUAAUGGCAUACCAAGGCGACGACGGGUAGCCGACCUGAGAGGGUGACCGGCCACACUGGGACUGAGACACGGCCCAGACUCCUACGGGAGGCAGCAGUGGGGAGUAUUGCACAAUGAGCGGAAGCCUGAUGCAGCGACGCCGCGUGAGGGAUGACGGCCUUCGAGUUGUAAACCUCUUUCAGCGCGGAAGAAGCGAGAGUGACGGUACGUGCAGAAGAAGCGCCGGCUAACUACGUG